AUCCAGCUGACGAGUUUCAAAUAGGACGAAACGCUCGUCCUGGAU
rnacentral:hammerhead_ribozyme from 1 species